GACGAACGCUGGCGGCGUGCUUAACACAUGCAAGUCGAACGGGCCCGCUCUCUUUUUUGGGGGUGGGUUGAGUGGCGAACGGGUGAGUAUCACGUGAGUAACCUGCCCCCUGCUCCUGGAUAACUGCUUGAAAGGGCGGCUAAUACGGGGUGUGCCGGCUGGUCCGCAUGGGCCUGGUCGGGAUAGUUUCAUCUUCGGGUGUUUCGGUGGGGGAUGGGCUCGCGGCCUAUCAGCUUGUUGGUGGGGUGAUGGCCCACCAAGGCGGUGACGGGUAGCCGGCCUGAGAAGGUAGGGGACCAAACCGGGACGGAGACACGGCCCACACUCCUGCGCGAGGCAGCAGUGGGGGGUAUUGAUAAAUGGGCGGAAGACUGAAGCAGCGGCGUCGAGUGAGGGACGGAUGCCUUCGGGUAGGGUACCUCUUUCUCCGGUGGUGAAGGCCCUGUUCGUUGCCGCGGGGUUGACGGUAGCCGGGGAUGAAGCGCCGGCUAACUACGUG
rnacentral:rRNA from 1 species